UGCGGCUGGAUCCCCCCCUUU
rnacentral:rRNA from 1 species